UGCCAGCAGCCGCGGUAAUACGAAGGGUGCAAGCGUUGUUCGGAAUUAUUGGGCGUAAAGCGCUCGUAGGCGGUUUGUUAAGUCGGAUGUGAAAGCCCCGGGCUCAACCUGGGAACUGCAUUCGAUACUGGCAGACUAGAGUAUAGUAGAGGCAAGUGGAAUUCCGGGUGUAGCGGUGAAAUGCGUAGAUAUCCGGAGGAACAUCAGUGGCGAAGGCGACUUGCUGGACUAAUACUGACGCUGGGAGCGAAAGCGUGGGGAGCAAACGGGAUUAGAUA
rnacentral:rRNA from 1 species